CAGUCGAGCGAACGGACGAGAAGCUUGCUUCUCUGAUGUUAGCGGCGGACGGGUGAGUAACACGUGGAUAACCUACCUAUAAGACUGGGAUAACUUCGGGAAACCGGAGCUAAUACCGGAUAAUAUUUUGAACCGCAUGGUUCAAAAGUGAAAGACGGUCUUGCUGUCACUUAUAGAUGGAUCCGCGCUGCAUUAGCUAGUUGGUAAGGUAACGGCUUACCAAGGCAACGAUGCAUAGCCGACCUGAGAGGGUGAUCGGCCACACUGGAACUGAGACACGGUCCAGACUCCUACGGGAGGCAGCAGUAGGGAAUCUUCCGCAAUGGGCGAAAGCCUGACGGAGCAACGCCGCGUGAGUGAUGAAGGUCUUCGGAUCGUAAAACUCUGUUAUUAGGGAAGAACAUAUGUGUAAGUAACUCUGCACAUCUUGACGGUACCUAAUCAGAAAGCCACGGCUAACUACGUGCCAGCAGCCGCGGUAAUACGUAGGUGGCAAGCGUUAUCCGGAAUUAUUGGGCGUAAAGCGCGCGUAGGCGGUUUUUUAAGUCUGAUGUGAAAGCCCACGGCUCAACCGUGGAGGGUCAUUGGAAACUGGAAAACUUGAGUGCAGAAGAGGAAAGUGGAAUUCCAUGUGUAGCGGUGAAAUGCGCAGAGAUAUGGAGGAACACCAGUGGCGAAAGCGACUUUCUGGUCUGUAACUGACGCUGAUGUGCGAAAGCCUGGGGAUCAAACAGGAUUAGAUACCCUGGUAGUCCACGCCGUAACGAUGA
rnacentral:rRNA from 1 species